AGCAGCCGCGGUAAUUCCAGCUCCAAUAGCGUAUAUUAAAGUUGUUGCAGUUAAAAAGCUCGUAGUUGAAUUUCGGGGUCAGUAGGUCGGUCAUGCCACUGGUAUGUACUGGUCUCACUGAUUCCUCCUUCCUGAUGAACCGUAAUGCCAUUAAUUUGGUGUUGCGGGGAGACUGGACUGUUACUUUGAAAAAUUAGAGUGUUUAAAGCAGGCUAACGCUUGAAUACAUUAGCAUGGAAUAACGGAAUAGGACGUUCGAUCUUAUUUUGUUGGUUUCUAAGAUUGACGUAAUGAUUAAUAGGGAUAGUUGGGGGCAUUAGUAUUCAAUUGUCAGAGGUGAAAUUCUUGGAUUUAUUGAAGACUAACUACUUGCGAAAGCAAUUUGCCAAGGAUGUCUUCAUUAAUCAAGAACG
rnacentral:sRNA from 1 species